UACAUGUGGGGCAAGCGUUGUUCGGAAUUAUUGGGCGUAAAGGGCGCGUAGGCGGCGCGGUAUGUCACCUGUGAAAUCUCCUGGCUCAACUGGGAGAGGACGUUCAAGACUGUCGGACUAGAGGACGGUAGAGGAAGGUAGAAUUCCCGGUGUAGUGGUGAAAUGCGUAGAUAUCGGGAGGAAUACCAGUGGCGAAGGCGGCCUUCUGGGCCGUUCCUGACGCUCAGACGCGAAAGCUAGGGGAGCAAACGGG
rnacentral:rRNA from 1 species